UACGUAGGGUGCAGGCGUUAAUCGGAAUUACUGGGCGUAAAGCGUGCGCAGGCGGCUCUUUAAGUCAGAUGUGAAAGCCCCGGGCUUAACCUGGGAAUUGCGUUUGAAACUGGAGAGCUGGAGUGUGGAAGAGGAAGGUGGAAUUCCACGUGUAGCGGUGAAAUGCGUAGAGAUGUGGAGGAACACCGAUGGCGAAGGCAGCCUUCUGGGCCAAUACUGACGCUCAUGCACGAAAGCGUGGGGAGCAAACAGG
rnacentral:rRNA from 1 species